rnacentral:tRNA from 2 species
UCUAAUAUGGCAGAUUAGUGCAUUGAAUUUAAACUUCAAAUAUAAAGUUAAAGCUUUUUUUAGAA